rnacentral:rRNA from 1 species
GCUAAAAACCUAGCCCAACAAUUUUCUAACAUUUUUUUUAUUUUAUCUCAAAAACUAAAACAUUAUAACAAUUUAGUAAAGGCGAUUAAAAAAUUAAUUGGAGCUAUACAAGAAGUACCGCAAGGGAAAGCUGAAAUAAAAAUGAAACAAACACUUAAGCAAAAAAAAGUAGAGAUUUUUCCUCGUACCUUUUGCAUCAUGGUUUAACUAGUCUAAUCAAGCAAAACGAAUUCAAGUUUGACCUCCCGAAACUAAGCGAGCUACUCCAAGGCAGCCUUACGGGCCAACCCGUCUCUGUUGCAAAAGAGUGGGAAGACCUUCGAGUAGAGGUGAUAAACCAAACGAGCCUAGUGAUAGCUGGUUGUUUGAUAAAAGAAUUUUAGUUCUCCCUAAAGCUUUAUUAUGAAAAUUAAACUAAUCCAUCUGCUUUAGAGCUAUUCAAAUAAGGUACAGCCUAUUUGAUUUAGGAUACAACCUACACUAAUGGGUUAUUCUCAAUACGAUAUUAAGUAGGCUUAAAAGCAGCCAUCUUUAAAAAAGCGUCAAAGCUUAUUUAUUAUUAAUUUUUUAAUUACACAAAUUAAUUUUAACCCUUUUUUUACAUCAAACAAUUCUAUAUUCUUAUAGAAUAUAUUAUGUUAAAACUAGUAAUAAGAAGAAAACCCUUCUCUUAAAUGUAAAUAUAAGCCAGAAAGGAUAAACCACUGUCAAUUAACAUAUAUAAACACUAUUAGCAACAUCACAAGAAAAUCCUACUAAAGUUAAUGUUAACCUAACACAAGCACAUUUCAAGAAAGAUUAAAAAAAAAAGAAGGAACUCGGCAAACACUAACCCCGCCUGUUUACCAAAAACAUCGCCUCUUGAUAAAUAAAUAAGAGGUCCAGCCUGCCCAGUGACCUAGUUCAACGGCCGCGGUAUCCUAACCGUGCGAAGGUAGCGUAAUCACUUGUUCUUUAAAUGAGGACUAGUAUGAAUGGCACCACGAAGGUUUCACUGUCUCCUUUUUUUAAUCAAUGAAACUAAUCUUCCCGUGAAGAAGCGGGAAUAAAUUUAUAAGACGAGAAGACCCUAUGGAGCUUUAAACAAACUAACACUUGCAACAACCCUACCAUUUUUAUUAUAAAAAUCACAGCAUUAUGAUUAAUAGUUUUCGAUUGGGGUGAUCACGGAGAAAAAUUUAACCUCCACGCUGAAAGGGCCUUCCCCCUGAGCAAAAAGAUACAACUUUACGCACUAACAAAUUAACACACAUUGACCCAAUAUUUUGAUCAACGAACCAAGUUACCCUAGGGAUAACAGCGCAAUCCACUUUAAGAGCUCCUAUCGACAAGUGGGUUUACGACCUCGAUGUUGGAUCAGGGUAUCCUAGUGGUGCAGCCGCUACUAACGGUUCGUUUGUUCAACGAUUAAAACCCU